CAUGUUCAUAACUGUUCCAUCAACUUGAUUCCACAGUAGUUUCAUGUGAAUCACUUUUGCCCUUGUAGCAGCUGAUGACGAUACUGCAAUGCCAGUCAUUGGGAGCAUUAGAGAGACAGAAUAUAAAUGGAAUGAAAAAAAGAAUUAAAGCAAAUUGCCUCCAUCAGUAAGAUCAAGCUAAGAAGAAAAUUCUACUGAGGGGAGUACCACUGGUGAAUGUUGUUGAAGAAGCCAGCCCAAGUGGGUUCUGGAACUGAUGAUAAAUGUUCCAUUGAUGAAUUCUGAAGUGACAUACAAAGAAAUUGGGCUCAAUAAGCAUGAAAGCAGAGUGGUCCAUAAUGA